CAUCCCCGCACCGGAAUUUGGCGGCAGCGGAGAAAAGGAUUGAUGGCGAGAGAGGUGAGCCCCUCCUCGUCCCCGCGCCGUCGAUCUCCUCCCGUGACGUGUCUCUCCUCGCUGGUCGUCGCCACAUGCCACGGAGGAGCUGCAGCCAGGUCCGAGUAGCUGCCUGAUAUCGCGGCUGAUGGAGCAUGGGAAGCCGGUCAAGGGGAGGGGGCGUGCUACUCCUGGUUCAGGUCCGUUGUAGACAUCGUUCAUUCCAUUCGUCUAGGCUUCGGUCGGCUUGCCGCCUGCUGCUGUGUCGAGAGCUUGCAAUGUUUGAGCCUGAGCUCUUCCUUUCCUUCCUGACUAUGUGCGGCUCCAGUACUUUUUUUGGCGUGUUUUCUGCUCGGAUUUAGGUUAAAAAAAUGGAUGCAUUAGUUGGUCAAGCGGUCGGAUUCCUUUGUCAUGGAUUAGGGAAUCCCCUAUGUUUUUUUGUUGCUUUCCUGGAGGCUCGGCCGCAUGCUGAGAUUCGUGGCAGUUUAAGAUAUUUUGCCACUGUUGAUUUGGGUUAGUCCCAGUUUUAGGUGUUUUCUUGCAUGAUUAAUUGUUGGAUUACAUGGAUAACGUCAAAUUUCAACCCAAUGGUUUAAUUUGGUCUCACUUUGAAUGUUUCUCUCUGCAGCUAGAGCAAGACAGUAGUAUGGAGGCAGACAGUAGUAUUGGUCGGGUAUUGCAAAAUAAGAUUUUAGUGUGUGUUUUACUUUUCUCUCUGCAAGCCAGCUUGCUGCAGUUAGUGAAGAACAAGAGAAAUUAAGGAAGUACUGUGCUAUACUACUAUGUUGAAACUUUAGGGGAGGAGUACAAGCAGCCAGGUUAGUGUGUACAUUGCUUUUCUAUUUUUGAUGGGCUGAUGCGUAUGCAUUGUUUGUGCUUUACUAAAAUGAGCAAUUAAUUAACUAGGAUCGAUUGAAUCCAGUACACAUUUCAAUUAACUAGAAUUAAACGAAGUUCUUGGUCUAGGCAAUAUACGUCAAGCUGCAAAGAUAUAGUGCAGCCUAAUUAUUUCUUGGAUUUGGUACACUUACACCUUCAUUCUAUUUUUAUUUUGGUCUGCUGUUGAGUACAUUUAGAUAUCGAACAUAUAAACGCUGCUGUGCUAUCCGUCUUCCUGGGCAUCUGCAUUAGCGAGCGAUUUCUCUCCGUCCGAUGGAAUUACUGUGCACGUUUUUACCUCUGCAAUGGGGGAUUUGUCCACAAAGCUUGUCUUGUCAUGUGUAGGCUACGCGACUGUACACCAACAUGGCCAGGAGCUUCAGAAGGGUUGCUCAGCAACGGACUGGAAGAUUUUUUUUGUCCUGGGUACUUGCAUGAUUUAGGAAGAAAUUAGUUGUUCCUAAAUGUGCUAUUGCAGAUCAAAGAUCAUACGUGUGGCGUCGUCUAAGAUCGUAAUCUGGUCAUCAUAAGGCUUUAUUGAUUGUUGAUUAUACUUCCAUGGUUUGACCUAUCCGAGGUGUAGCCAAGAUCAGCCGAGAGGACAAUGUUUUGGUUGUUUCGACGGAAAAUCCUACUGACUUCAGCUUGAAGCAUGAAGCCCCUAGCCCAGUGUUAAAAAAUCCAGUCAUCGUAGCUAAAGCUGGAAUCACAUAGAGCAGUGGCUACUCCAGAAACACUUGUUCUGGUCACUUCCAGGGAUAAUACAAUCAAUCUAACUGUUACUUUUGGUGUGCUUUUUGGAUGGACUAAUCUGAAGAUGCUGGCUAGCUUGCACCACCUCCAUAUAGUCUAGAUGCAAGGGCAAGGAUUAUAGGGAAAAUAAAGGCAAUUCGCCACGAGGAAAUGCCAACUAAUACAUUUUUUUUUACUUUCUUUCUUACUAUUGACUAUUUGAACUGUUGUAGUAAGACUCAGGCUUUUCAAAGUUAUUAGGCAUGUGGACAUGUAUUUAUUUUAGUUUGUACAGUUUUGUGUUCUUGUGGCUUCAGGUUGCUCCUGCACAAAAAGUGCAGUGAACUCAGGUGACACAUGAAAAAACUAGAGACCUAGCAUAGUUUUUGUAUUCGGAUUUUGUAACUAAUCGUGUGAUGCCUUUAUGUUAAAAUGCUUAUUUGUUCUCCAA